rnacentral:rRNA from 1 species
ACUCAAAGGAAUAGACGGGGACCCGCACAAGCGGUGGAUGAUGUGGUUUAAUUCGAUGCAACGCGAAAAACCUUACCUACCCUUGACAUGUCAGGAACUCCACAGAAAUGCGGAGGUGCUCGAAAGAGAGCCUGAACACAGGUGCUGCAUGGCCGUCGUCAGCUCGUGUCGUGAGAUGUUGGGUUAAGUCCCGCAACGAGCGCAACCCUUGUCAUUAGUUGCUACGAAAGGGCACUCUAAUGAGACUGCCGGUGACAAACCGGAGGAAGGUGGGGAUGACGUCAGGUCCUCAUGGCCCUUAUGGGUAGGGCUACACACGUCAUACAAUGGCCGGUACAGAGGGUUGCCAACCCGCGAGGGGGAGCUAAUCCCAUAAAGCCGGUCGUAGUCCGGAUCGCAGUCUGCAACUCGACUGCGUGAAGUCGGAAUCGCUAGUAAUCGCGGAUCAGCUUGCCGCGGUGAAUACGUUCCCGGGUCUUGUACACACCGCCCGU